rnacentral:rRNA from 1 species
CGAACGCUGGCGGCGUGUCUUAACACAUGCAAGUCGAACGGAAAGGCCUGCAGCUUGCUGCGGGUACUCGAGUGGCGAACGGUGGAGUGAACCACGUGGGUGAUCUGCCUUGCACUUCGGGAUAAGCUUGGGAAACUGGGUCUAAUACCGGAUAGGACAGCUGUUUAGUGUCAGUUGUGGAAAGUUUUUUCGGUGCAAGAUGAGCUCGCGGCCUAUCAGCUUGUUGGUAAGGUAACGGUUACCGGGGCAACGAUGCAUAGCCGACCUGAAGGGUGAUCGGCCACACUGGAACUGAACACGGUCCAGACUCCUACGGGAGGCAGCAGUAGGGAAUCUUCCGCAAUGGGCGAAAGCCUGACGGAGCAACGCCGCGUGAGUGAUGAAGGUCUUCGGAUCGUAAAAUCUGUAUUAGGGACGAACAUAUGUGUACAGUAACUGUGCACAUCUUGACGGUACCUAAUCCGAAAGCCCAGGUUAACUACGUGCCAGCAGCCGCGGUAAUACGUAGGUGGCAAGCGUUAUCCGGACUUAUUGGGCGUAAAGCCGCGCGUAGGCGGUUUCUCAAGGUCUGACUGUGAAAGCCCCAGGUCAACCGUUGGAAGGGUCCCUUGGGAAACCUUGGGAAACAACUUGACCUGCAGAAAGCAGGCAACAGUUGGGAUUC